rnacentral:rRNA from 1 species
AACGAACGCUGGCGGCAGGCCUAGCACAUGCAAGUCGAGCGCCCCAGCGAUGGGGAGCGGCGGACGGGUGAGUAACGCGUGGGAACGUGCCUCUUGCUACGGAAUAGCCUCGGGAAACUGGGAGUAAUACCGUAUGUGCCCUACGGGGGAAAGAUUUAUCGGCAAGAGAUCGGCCCGCGUUGGAUUAGGUAGUUGGUGGGGUAAUGGCCUACCAAGCCGACGAUCCAUAGCUGGUUUGAGAGGAUGAUCAGCCACACUGGGACUGAGACACGGCCCAGACUCCUACGGGAGGCAGCAGUGGGGAAUCCUAGACAAUGGGCGCAAGCCUGAUCUAGCCAUGCCGCGUGAGCGAUGAAGGCCUUAGGGUUGUAAAGCACUUUCACUUGGGAAGAAAGCUCAUCGUUAAUAGCGGUGAGCCCUGACAUUACCUUGAGAAGAAGCACCGGCUAACUCCGUACCAGCAGCCGCGGUAAUGUACAGUGU